rnacentral:rRNA from 1 species
GGGACAAACGCUGGCGGGGUGCGUGAGACAUGCAAGUCGAACGAGGUGCCAUCGGGCUUGCUCGAUGGCUACCUAGUGGCGGACGGCUGAGUAACGCGUAGGUGACCUACCCGGAAGUGGGGAAUAACUGCCCGAAAGGGUGGCUAAUACCGCAUACGGUCGACGAUUCGUUUCGUCGUCCAAAGGAGCAAUUCGCUUCCGGAGGGGCCUGCGUCCGAUUAGCUAGUUGGUGGGGUAACGGCUCACCAAGGCGACGAUCGGUAGCUGGUCUGAGAGGAUGAUCAGCCAGACUGGGACUGAGAACGGCCCAGACUCCUACGGGAGGCAGCAGUCGGGAAUUUGCCCAAUGGACGAAAGUCUGAGGCAGCAACUCCGCGUGAGGGAUGAAGGCUCUCGGGUCGUAAACCUUCGUUUACUCGAGGAAGAUCCAAGACGGUACCUGAGGAAUAAGCCACGGACUAACUACGUGU